CAGCCGCCGCGGUAAUACGGAGGGUGCAAGCGUUAAUCGGAAUUACUGGGCGUAAAGCGUGCGUAGGCGGUUUCGUAAGACAGAUGUGAAAUCCCCGGGCUUAACCUGGGAACUGCAUUUGUGACUGCGAGGCUAGAGUGUGUCAGAGGGUGGUGGAAUUCCACGUGUAGCAGUGAAAUGCGUAGAUAUGUGGAGGAACACCGAUGGCGAAGGCAGCCCCCUGGGAUAACACUGACGCUCAUGCACGAAAGCGUGGGGAGCAAACAGGAUUAGAUACCCCAGUAGUCCCUGUCUCUUAUAC
rnacentral:rRNA from 1 species